CAACAUUUGUGUUGUUCCCACUUCUCCUUGCUUUUCCGUAGUGCUCAUCAACUCAUGAAGAACAUAACACCCUCCGGCCAUCUCUCCAAAACAGUGUCCAAGUUUGUGGACUAAGAACAUGAGGACUACCUUAUCACUUCUGGUGUUCAUUGCCUUUGUCUUGGUUUUUGCAUCUCUGCAAGCUGAUGCGAAAAGGCCGACAUUGAAAGACAACCACCGUAAGCUGACUGAUGAUCGGCAACACAGUGAAACAAAUGUUGUCCCAACGGCUGGCGUUGGCCCUAAAGACACCAAGGCUGUUGUGACCGAUCAAUGCAAGGGCUCAAGGGACACAAAAAUGAAUACCGGAGGCGGUAGUGGUACUAGUACAGGGUGAAGAACAAUGAUGAAGAAGGUGCGAACCCAAGUUAUGGAAAUUACGGAGGUACCGGUUCGAAAUCUGAGUCAUCAAUAGAAACUCACCGUUAUUAUUCGGGUGAACGCAAGCCCAAGCACUAAGAUUGGGAACUUUCGAUUAAGGGCCAGGAUUGAUGGUUCGAGCUAGCUUGCUUAUGUAAAAUUGUAAAUACAUAAAUCUGGUGUUGCUCCAUAUAGAUUGAUUUUCAUAAAUAAAGUGGAACAAUGUCGGCAAUAUGCUAACGAGCUAGUAGCCCACUGUAGCCGAAACAUGCACGCACCCGUCUGUGUAUGGCACAAUUCAAGCAUUUGAUUUCACUAUGUAUUGCUGCGCUUGUUUACUGUGAUUGCUCUUUGGCUCGUUA